UGUCAAACCAGCUUUUCCAGUUCUUGAGGGUCGCAGAACCUCUGUAAUCUGACACUACUCCCUCCCAGUUCUCAGACCUGCUUAAACUCUGGAAGGGCGGGGUAGGAGAGCUGUGGGAGAGUCGGGGGAAGGGUCCAGGCACAGUGCUUUUUCUGCUUUUUGCUUGACUUUGAGAGCCCAGCUGCAGUUCUCAGCUGAGGUCUCUGCUUUGAGCACUGGGCAUCACUGUCCUAUAUGCUGGUCCCUCAGCAGGACUGUGGGGUGCGGGGAGAGAGCCCAAGGCCUGGCUAUUGCAAUCUCUGGCCUACGUCCUGCGUCUCUGCGGCGGCUGUGGGCCACGUCUCCACACUUUCUCCCUCCUGGUUUGCUCACCUUCAGUCUCGAGUGGAUGGAUCUCUUUGGGUGUUUGCAGCUUUUUUGCAUUAUGAAUAAUGGUGCCAUAAACAUUCCUGCACAUUUCCCAUUGCACAGAGAUGACUAAAGAGUGAUGUUUUAAAGUUGAGGAAAAAUGUCUGUUGUUUAAUGAUUGACACUGCGAACCAGUUACCUGGACACUCUAGUAUAUGAAGAGAAGUCAAGAUCAACCUCUCAAUUUAAAUUCAAAAGCUUCUCUGAAGCGAUCUGCUGACCAAAAUGUGGAAUGCUCUGGGAAGUCUCACUGUCAGAUUCACAGUAUGCCAGCCAUUGAUCUGACUC